GGGUGAAGAAGGCCUUCGGGUUGUAAAGCCCUUUUGUUGGGAAAGAAAACUUUCCGGUUAAUACCCGGAGAGAAUGACGGUACCCAAAGAAUAAGCACCGGCUAACUUCGUGCCAGCAGCCGCGGUAAUACGAAGGGUGCAAGCGUUACUCGGAAUUACUGGGCGUAAAGCGUGCGUAGGUGGUUCGUUAAGUCUGAUGUGAAAGCCCUGGGCUCAACCUGGGAAUUGCAUUGGAUACUGGCGGGCUAGAGUACGGUAGAGGGUAGUGGAAUUCCUGGUGUAGCAGUGAAAUGCGUAGAGAUCAGGAGGAACAUCCGUGGCGAAGGCGACUACCUGGACCAGUACUGACACUGAGGCACGAAAGCGUGGGGAGCAAACAGGAUUAGAUACCCUGGUAGUCCACGCCCUAAACGAUGCGAACUGGAUGUUGGGUUCAACUAGGAACUCAGUAUCGAAGCUAACGCGUUAAGUUCGCCGCCUGGGGAGUACGGUCGCAAGACUG
rnacentral:rRNA from 1 species